CCUACGGGAGGCAGCAGUGGGGAAUAUUGGACAAUGGGGGGAACCCUGAUCCAGCCAUGCCGCGUGUGUGAAGAAGGCCCUCGGGUUGUAAAGCACUUUCAGUGAGGAAGAACGCCUGGUGGUUAAUACCCAUCAGGAAAGACAUCACUCACAGAAGAAGCACCGGCUAACUCCGUGCCAGCAGCCGCGGUAAUACGGAGGGUGCGAGCGUUAAUCGGAAUUACUGGGCGUAAAGCGCGCGUAGGUGGCUUGAUAAGCCGGUUGUGAAAGCCCCGGGCUCAACCUGGGAACGGCAUCCGGAACUGUCAAGCUAGAGUGCAGGAGAGGAAGGUAGAAUUCCCGGGGUAGCGGUGAAAUGCGUAGAGAUCGGGAGGAAUACCAGUGGCGAAGGCGGCCUUCUGGACUGACACUGACACUGAGGUGCGAAAGCGUGGGUAGCAAACAGGAUUAGAUACCCUGGUAGUC
rnacentral:rRNA from 1 species